rnacentral:misc_RNA from 1 species
CAGAGUUGCAGGACUCCGGCCCGAACCAUUCCAACCUGUGACCUACACCGUUGCUUCGGCGGGCGACCCUGCCGUUCCGCCCUCGGCCUCGCGGCGCCCCCGGAGGUAUCCAACACUUGCAUCUUUGCGCUCGGAGUCUUUACGGAAAUGAAAUC